rnacentral:rRNA from 1 species
AUUGAACGCUGGCGGCAUGCCUUACACAUGCAAGUCGAACGGCAGCACGGGAGCAAUCCUGGUGGCGAGUGGCGAACGGGUGAGUAAUACAUCGGAACGUGCCCUGUCGUGGGGGAUAACUAGUCGAAAGAUUAGCUAAUACCGCAUACGACCUGAGGGUGAAAGCGGGGGACCGUAAGGCCUCGCGCGAUAGGAGCGGCCGAUGUCUGAUUAGCUAGUUGGUGGGGUAAAGGCCCACCAAGGCGACGAUCAGUAGCUGGUCUGAGAGGACGAUCAGCCACACUGGGACUGAGACACGGCCCAGACUCCUACGGGAGGCAGCAGUGGGGAAUUUUGGACAAUGGGGGCAACCCUGAUCCAGCAAUGCCGCGUGUGUGAAGAAGGCCUUCGGGUUGUAAAGCACUUUUGUCCGGAAAGAAAUCCCUUGCCCUAAUACGGCGGGGGGAUGACGGUACCGGAAGAAUAAGCACCGGUAA